UGUUAAUUUUCUUUUUCGCAAGUAGAUUUUUUUAAUAAAAGCAACUAUCUUAUUAUUUAAUUGCAGAAUAUAAGUUUCUUUACCCUGUAAAAAUAUAUUGAGUGAAUUAAGUUUUUCAAAAAUAUCACAUAAAUAAGCUAAUUUUAUUACAAAAUCACUAUCAACAAACAUUUUGCUAUUAUUAUAACCUUCUCCAUUUAAAUAAUAUUACAGUUCUUGUACAAGUUUGAAUACUCUUGAAAGUACAUUACCUUUUGAUAGCCAUCUAGAAUUACAUUAAAACAGUAAUAUAUGUUCUGCUUCCAUUUCUUCACACAGUUUUUGAAAAAAUCUUGCUUUAAUAGAUCUUGUAUUUACAUAGUUGACUACUUCUAAAACCAUUUCAAGUACAUAAUUUGAAGAACAACUUAUAUUUUGUGACCCUUAAGCCUCUCCAUUAAUAAGACAAUGAGUACAUAUCAUUUCUGGAGCUUUUGUCGAAUUAAAGCCUGAAGUUCACUGUACUGACCAGACAUAGUCGAGUUCCAUCUCUACACACGCCCAAACAGUUUUCCCAUUUAAUAUUAUUAUGAUCCAAAAAAUUAUUAGAAAUAUCAAAUAGGUCUUUAGCUUUAGUACCACUUAAUAUAGAUUUUCAAAACAAUAAUUCUUCUAUAAUAUAUAUUCCAUUCAUAAACUGAACAUAACAUAUUAGAUAUGCGUCUUUAUUAUUAUUAUCAUCAUCGGUCGUCCCGAAAUUUUUAUUUCUUAAUUUAUCAAUAAGCUGAUCAUUUAUAUUAUCUGAGAUAUCUUGAAUUUGCCAACUAAUAGUAUUAUUAGAUAAAGGUAUAUUUCUAAGUUAGUUUGCUGCAGAUUCUCCUAUCAGAGUAGAAACCAUAUCUAUUGCUGAUGGUAAAAUAAGUUCUUUGGCAAUCUUCAUAUGAGGUGUUUUGCAUUAUGCCAUACAAAAUUCUGCUUUAUAUGAAGUCAAAAGGGCUUUAGAUGGAACACAUGUCUGUUUAAAGAAACUAGAAGAUUGUUUUCCUAAUUUUGCAAGUUCUCUUACAAAAUAAUCACAUUUAUGGUUUAUUAUUUAUGUACUAUGAUUAGUCUUCAAUUGAUG